rnacentral:rRNA from 1 species
AUACGGAGGGCGCAAGCGUUGUUCGGAAUCAUUGGGCGUAAAGCGCGUGUAGGCGGCUUGACAAGUCGGGCGUGAAAUCCCGGGGCCCAACCCCGGAACUGCACUCGAAACUGUCUCGCUAGAGUUCCGGAGAGGAAGGCGGAAUUCCGGGUGUAGAGGUGAAAUUCGUAGAUAUCCGGAGGAACACCAGUGGCGAAGGCGGCCUUCUGGACGGUGACUGACGCUGAGACGCGAAAGCGUGGGGAGCAAACAGGAUUAGAUACCCCGGUAGUCC